rnacentral:rRNA from 1 species
UACGAAGGGGGCUAGCGUUGCUCGGAAUCACUGGGCGUAAAGGGUGCGUAGGCGGGUCUUUAAGUCAGGGGUGAAAUCCUGGAGCUCAACUCCAGAACUGCCUUUGAUACUGAGGAUCUUGAGUUCGGGAGAGGUGAGUGGAACUGCGAGUGUAGAGGUGAAAUUCGUAGAUAUUCGGAAGAACACCAGUGGCGAAGGCGACAUACUGGUCCAUUACUGACGCUGAGGCUCGAAAGCGUGGGGAGCAAACAGG